rnacentral:rRNA from 1 species
AACAAACGCUGGCGGCGUGCCUAAUACAUGCAAGUCGAUCGAGGUAGCAAUACCUAGAGGCGCACGGGUGAGUAACACGUAGGUAAUCUGCCCUCGAGUGGGGAAUAACCAAUCGAAAGAUUGGCUAAUACCGCAUAAGACCACAAGAUCUGAGGAUCAAGAGGUCAAAGGAGCAAUUCGCUUGAGGAUGAGCCUGCGUCGGAUUAGCUAGUUGGUAGGGUAACGGCCUACCAAGGCAAUGAUCCGUAGCUGGUCUGAGAGGAUGAUCAGCCACACUGGAACUGAGACACGGUCCAGACUCCUACGGGAGGCAGCAGUAGGGAAUAUUGCGCAAAUGGGGGAAACCCUGACGCAGCGACGCCGCGUGAGUGAUGAAGGCC